rnacentral:RNase_P_RNA from 1 species
CGAGCCCGCCGGGCGGCCGCGGCAUCGCCGAGGAAAGUCCGGACUCCACAGGGCAGAGUGCUGGGUAACACCCAGGCGGGGUGACCCGACGGAAAGUGCCACAGAGAGCAGACCGCCGAUGGCCGCGAGGCACAGGUGAGGGUGAAAGGGUGCGGUAAGAGCGCACCAGCGCCGGGGGUGACCCCGGCGGCUCGGCAA